rnacentral:rRNA from 1 species
AACGAACGCUGGCGGCGCGCCUAAUACAUGCAAGUCGAGCGAGAAGACGUAGCAAUACGUUUGUAAAGCGGCGAACGGGUGAGGAAUACAUGGGUAACCUACCCUCGAGUGGGGAAUAACUAGCCGAAAGGUUAGCUAAUACCGCGUACGCUCCUUGGACUUCGGUUCAGGGAGGAAAGCGAUACCGUGGGUAUCGCGCUCUUGGAUGGGCUCAUGUCCUAUCAGCUUGUUGGUGAGGAACGGCUCACCAAGGCUUCGACGGGUAGCUGGUCUGAGAGGACGAUCAGCCACACUGGCACUGCGACACGGGCCAGACUCCUACGGGAGCAGCAGUAAGGAAUAUUGCGCAAUGGGCGAAAGCCUG